CUUUGUACACACCGCCCGUCGC
rnacentral:ncRNA from 3 species